rnacentral:rRNA from 1 species
UUGUGUGAAUUGCAGAAUCCCGCUGAACCAUCGAGUUUUUGAACGCAAGUUGCGCCCAAAGCCACUAGGCUGAGGGCACGCCUGCCUGGGCGUCACGCACAGCGUCGCGCUCAACACAAGCAAUGUUUUCGUGUUGAUGAGCGGAAGUUGGCCACCCGAGCUAUCUCAGCUCGGUAGGCCUAAAUGAUGGCCUCGAGCGAUGGGCAUCACGAUCUAUGGUGGUUUAGAACCCCUGUCGUCGUAGACCGGCGUCGUGUUUGCCUUGUUGAAUGCUCGAGCUGUACAAACCCUUGUGUGUUGCAUCUAACACUCACCUUGCGACCCCAGGUCAGGCGGGACUACCCGCUGAGUUUAAGCAUAUCAAUAAGCGGAGGAGAAGAAACUUACAAGGAUUCCCCUAGUAACGGCGAGCGAACCGGGAUCAGCCCAGCUUGAGAAUCGGCGCUUGGCUUUGUCGUCCGAAUUGUAGUCUG